AAUCUUCCGCAAUGGACGCAAGUCUGCCGGAGCAACGCCGCGUGAGUGAUGAAGGUUUUCGGAUCGUAAAACUCUGUUGUUAGGGAAGAACAAGUACCGUUCGAAUAGGUCGGUACCUUGACGGUACCUAAACAGACAGACACGGUUACCUACCUUCCAGCAGCCGCGGUAAUACGUAGGUGGCAAGCGGUAACCGGAAUUAUUGGGCGUAAAGCGCGCGCAGGCGGUUUCUUAAGUCUGAUGUGAAAGCCCACGGCUCAACCGUGGAGGGUCAUUGGAAACUGGGGAACUUGAGUGCAGAAGAGGAGAGUGGAAUUCCAUGUGUAGCGGUGAAAUGCGUAGAGAUAUGGAGGAACACCAGUGGCGAAGGCGACUCUCUGGUCUGCAACUGACGCUGAGGCGCGAAAGCGUGGGGAGCAAACA
rnacentral:rRNA from 1 species